UAAAGAAUUUCGGUCAUCGAUGGGGAUGCGUUCCAUUAGCUUGUUGGCGGGGUAACGGCCCACCAAGGCAUCGAUGGAUAGGGGUUCUGAGAGGAAGGUCCCCCACAUUGGAACUGAGACACGGUCCAAACUCCUACGGGAGGCAGCAGUGAGGAAUAUUGGUCAAUGGGCGCUAGCCUGAACCAGCCAAGUAGCGUGAAGGAUGACUGCCCUAUGGGUUGUAAACUUCUUUUAUAUGGGAAUAAAGUGCAGUAUGUAUACUGCUUUGCAUGUACCUUAUGAAUAAGGAUCGGCUAACUCCGUGCCAGCAGCCGCGGUAAUACGGAGGAUCCGAGCGUUAUCCGGAUUUAUUGGGUUUAAAGGGAGCGUAGGCGGGUUGUUAAGUCAGUUGUGAAAGUUUGCGGCUCAACCGUAAAAUUGCAGUUGAUACUGGCAUCCUUGAGUACAGUAGAGGUAGGCGGAAUUCGUGGUGUAGCGGUGAAAUGCUUAGAUAUCACGAAGAACUCCGAUUGCGAAGGCAGCCUGCUGGACUGUAACUGACGCUGAUGCUCGAAAGUGUGGGUAUCAAACAGGAUUAGAUACCCUGGUAGUCCACA
rnacentral:rRNA from 1 species